UACAGAGGGUGCAAGCGUUAAUCGGAAUUACUGGGCGUAAAGCGUGCGUAGACGGUUAUGUAAGUCGGGUGUGAAAGCCCCGGGCUCAACCUGGGAAUGCCAUUCGAGACUGCAUAGCUAGGGUGCGGAAGAGGGAAGCGGAAUUUCCGGUGUAGCAGUGAAAUGCGUAGAUAUCGGAAGGAACACCAGUGGCGAAAGCGGCUUCCUGGUCCAGCACCGACGUUCAGGCACGAAAGCGUGGGGAGCAAACAGG
rnacentral:rRNA from 1 species